rnacentral:misc_RNA from 1 species
GAUGAAGAACGUAGCGAAAUGCGAUAAGUAAUGUGAAUUGCAGAAUUCAGUGAAUCAUCGAGUUUUUGAACGCAUAUUGCGCCCUCUGGUAUUCCGGGGGGCAUGCCUGUUCGAGCGUCAUUAAAUAACUCUCAAGCAUAGCUUGGUGUUGGGCUUUUUUACGUCCUUGACUGGGAUGGGCCUAAAAAUUAGUGGCGAUGGCUUUUUUACUUUCAAGCGUAGUAAAUCUCGUCUUGCUAAAGAGGAAAAAGAUUUUUUUUCUGCCAAAAAUUUUAACAUUUAAAGUUGACCUCGGAUCAGGUAGGAUUACCCGCUGAACUUAAGCAUAUCAAUAAGCGGAGGA